ensembl:lncRNA
GGACAAUCCUGGGAGAACCUCAGGACAAUGCUGGGAGAAGUUUUGGGGUCUCCGUGGUUUUGUCACACCCCAGAGACCCCAGAACCACGUCAAGAUUCCUUCCAGAAGGUCCCGCAUUGGUUCCUCCAAACCCCCCUGAGAUGUGGCCACCACNUUCCACCACCAAUUCCCACCCUUCUCCUGACCUCAGAAGAGCUUUUGAGGUCUCCAUGGGUUCCUCACCCCCCAGAGACUCCAUAACUGCACCUGGAUCUGUUCCAGAGUUCUUCUCCAAAACCUCCUGAGAUGUUUCCACCACCAAUUCCCACCCUUCUCCUGACCCCAGAAGAAUGGUUCUGGUGUCUCCUUGUCCCCCAAGCCCUGGAGACUCCAUAAUGACAUCGGGAUCCCCUUUCCCACCCCUCCGUUGUCUUCUCCAAACCCUCCUGAGAUGUUUCCACCACCAAUUCCCGCCCUUCCCCUCCCCCUAGAAGAACCGUUCCAGCGCCCCUUUGUCCCCCAACCCCUGGAGACCCCAUAACUGCAUCUGGAUCCCUUCCAGAGCGUCCCCUCGAACCCCCCUGAGAUGUUUCCACCACNUCCUGGGGAGGAGAUGGGGGAGGGGGAUGGAGGAGCCUGGAGUGAUGGGGGAGGGGAUGGGGGGAGCUGGAGGGUCCUGGUGGCUUUGGGACAUCCUGGGACAUCCUGGGACACUCUGGGGUGGCUUUGGGACAUCCUGGGGACAUCCAUGGGACAUUUAUGGGACACCCAGGGGUGGCUUUGGGACAUCCUUGGGACACCCUGGAAGGGACACCUUGGGGUGGCUCUGAGACAUCCUGAAGGGGACGACCUGUGGUGGUUUUGGGACAUCCCUGGGACAUCCUUGGGUGGCUUUGGGACAUCCUGGGGACAUUUAUGGGACACCUUGGGGUGGCUCUGGGACAUUCAUGGGACACCCAUGGGACAUUCUGGGGUGGCUUUGGGACAUCCAGAUGGGGACACCCUGGGGUGACUCUGAGACAUCUGUGGGACAUCCUGGGACACCCAUGGGUGGCUCUGAAGAGUCCUGAGGUGGCUUUGGGACAUUGGUGGGACACCCAUGGGUGGCUUUGGGACAUCCUGAAGAGUCCUGGGGUGGCCUGGAGGGUCCUGGGACAUCCUUGGGACACCUUGAAGUGACACCCUGGGGUGGCUCUGGGACACCCGUGGGACAUCCUGGGACACCCAUGGGACACCCUGGGGUGGCUUUGGGACACCCAGGAGGGGACAACCUGUGGUGGCUCUGGGACACCGUGGGGUGGCUUUGGGACAUCCUUGGGACAUUGUGAGGUAGCUGUGGGACAUCCAUGGGUCACCCUGGAGGGGACAUCCUGGAGGGGACACCCUGUGGGACACCCUGGGGUGGCUUUGGGACACCCUGGGAUGGCUCUGGGACAUCCUGAAGAGUCCUGGGGUGGCCUGGAUGGUCCUGGGACAUCCUUGGGACACCCAUGGGUGGCUUUGGGACACCUUGGGGUGGCCUUGGGACAUUCAUGGGACACCCUGGAGGUGACAACCUGAGGUGGCUUUGGGACAUCCGUGGGACACCCUAAAGGGUCCUGGGGUGGCCUCGAUGGUCCUGGGACAUCCUGGAGGGGACAAUGCGGGGUGGCUUUGGAACAUCCUGGGGACACCCGUGGGACAUUGAUGGGACACCCUGGGGUGGCUCUGGGACAUCCUAAAGGAUCCUGGGAGAUCUCAGGUGGCCUUGGGACACCCUGGAGGGGACAAUCUGUGGUGGCUCUGGGACACCUUGGGGGGGCUUUGUGGCUUUGGGACACCCAUGGGACACCCUGAGAGCUCCUGGGACACCCAGGGGUGGCUCUGAAGAGUCCUGAGGUGGCUUUGGGACAUCCAUGGGACAUCCAGGGGUGGCUUUGGGACACCCAGGGGUGGCUCUGGGACACCCUGGGACACCCUGGAGGGGACACCCAUGGGACACCCAUUGGUGGCUUUGGGACACCUUGGGGUGG